UCAACCCCGAACUCAAUGUGCAUUGUCGCCAUGGUGGCAGUGGCCACGGCGGACGUGGCCGAAACGGCGGCGGGCGCGACGAGGCGUCCGACGGUCCUGGCCAGCACCCUUGGGUUGGGUACUUCGACCCCAUAUGGGGUGUGUCGUUCCCACCCCCUCGUGCACCCUGGGUGCCCCCAAACUCUGCAGGCAUCCUCGGGUCCCCAACUUGGUGCCACAACACAGGCGUACCCGGUUAUGUACUCUGGCACGCCGCCUGCUCCGUACGCCGCCCCUUCGUAUGCCGCCCCUCCAUACGUCGUGUUUCCCCCGGCGCUAAAGUGGAUAGUGGACACAUGAGUUGCGUCUCACGUCACCGGGGACUCAGGUAGCCUCACCUUGUCUCGUUACCCAUUAGCGUUUGAUUCUCGUUCCAUAACAGUCAGUAAUGGGGCCUGCCUUCCUGUUGUUGCCAUCGGUAGCGCUCUCCUCCCCUCUCGCCCGUUUCAUCUUUCUAAAAUCCUUCUCUUGCCAAAUAUCGUUAAGAACCUUAUUUUAGUCCGACAAUUUACUCAUGAAAACCUUGUUUCUGUGAAUUUUGACCCUCUGGUUUUUUCGUGAAGGAUCUGGUCAGCAAGGCCCUUCUCUUAGGUGCAAUAGUGGUGGUGAUCUCUAUCCGUUUUCAAGCAGUAAUUGUCGCUCCUCCCCGAUGGUCCUCACCGUCGAGCUGUCCAACUUGUCGCGGACUUGGCCACCCCAGCUCAUCUACUUUAGCUCAUUUUCCCCUUGAUUUCUUAGACUCAUGUAAUAAAGAUGUCCAUGACUCCAUGCUUUGUACUGCAUGCCAACUUGGCAAACAUACUCGCCUCCCCUUCCCCACCUCUACAUGCUUCGCCACCGCUCCUUUUCAAUUAGUCCACUGCGAUUUAUGGACAUCUGCAGUUGUUAGCAUUUCCGAUUAUAAUUAUUACCUUGUCAUAUUGGAUGAUUUUUCGUAUUAUUUAUGGAUAUUUCUUUGUGAGCCAAAUCUGGUACGUCUCAAACAUGGAGUUUUAUUUUUAAAUUUUGAAAUGCAAACGAACUCCGAAAAGCAUGAAAUUCAUGUUGGAAAAAAUGUUAAGACGUUUGUCUUCAAAUAAAGUACAAAAGAAAUAGAUUCCACUUCAUUUAUCCAUGUCCAAGAACGAAUUAAAUUUAGUAAAAUAAAGCUAAAAUAAGGGGGAAAAAACAAAGCCAUAAAAAUAGUAGUACGUACGUUGGAUUUGAACAAGGACCUCAUUUACAUUUCUAACGCCACAAAACCAAUGUAUUAAGAUACAAUUUUAAUCUAAACACACACUAGCCUUUUUAUAGUAGUAGAAGAUAUUUUCUAGCCUGCUGCCUUCUGAUUGGCUGAACCAGACCUCCCACGGAUCACGCCUCUCCACCGUCCAUCCUUAGCUGAUCCAACGGUCCCUGCUCCUUCUACUCUCUAUCUGUGCUUUCCCUGAUUCUUAUCCUCUCACACAGCCACACAAACGAGAGAACCAUGCCAGCAGCAGCCACGCCCGAGGAAAUCCACAGCUCGCAGCCGUCGGACACCGCCAUCCGCCGCCUGCACCUCCCACCACAGCACGCCGCAAUGGAGGCCGACCACCCAUGGCAUCGCCCGAGCUCACCUCCUAGCAGUCGCUCUCCUUUGAAUUCGUCGGGAUCCGGCUAGAUCCGGACGCCAGCGCCCCGUUCCUACUUCCGCGCCUCGCUUGGGUCGUCGGCCACCUCGACGAUGUGAUACCGCUUGCGGGAUCCAACGCCACCGCUGGCUAGCCACUUCCUCCUGGAGGAGACGCCCCCACAUCGGCGCCUCCCCACAUGAGCAGCAGCAACAAACGCCUCGCUAUGGGCGUCUCUGGUGGUGCUUUUUCUUGUAAUUUUUUUUAAAGAAGUUUGCCAGAUCUGUGCGUGAAAAACAAUGGUGUUGAACUCCGAUUGAUGUCCCGCGAAGGCUGGGCGGCGCUUGAUGCGGUGGCUGCAGAAUAUCUCCGGGCAAAAUAGUAGGCCAGAUCUAGGGGAAAAAACUGUAAUUCCAAGUUUUUGGUUGUUUAUUUCUUCCUUUUGGUAAAAAUAAAAUUUAGUUAUCUGGUA